GGAGGAUGCCAAGAGACUGGCGGAGGCUGCAGGAGCCCAAGUGAGCAUGGAAAUGGACGGGUAGGACUGUCAGGAGUCGGCAUGGCUGUUGAAAUUGGCUCUGCACUGGAACCAUUAGCCUGUUUGAAUCUACUGUGCUCUCUACUGCUUGCCCAGUCUGCGACUCAGAGACUCCACCCCAGGAAUACCCUUUUCCUGACAAUUUCCCGCGAACUGUAUCAUUCGGCCACAUGCGUCUGGAAGAGGUGAUUGCCAAGAGAAGCCGUUAACAAAAGGGGUUCCGGUGAGAGAUGGUUAGGACAGACCUUGGACGGUAAAGCAGUGUCUGGAGAGAAGAGUAUUGUGAGAAAACCAAAGAUCGAAGUGGCUGCACUCGCGAAGGAGUGAAGGAUUUAAGAUCAUCUGGAAGAGGCUGAAGAUUUUUCUCAUUUAAGGAAACAAGAUAUCACAAUGAUUUGAGCUGGGUUUUGUGACUCUUGGCUGGGAGAUAAUAAAACAUAGUUGAAUUAA